AACGAACGCUGGCGGCAUGCCUAACACAUGCAAGUCGAACGAGACCUUCGGGUCUAGUGGCGCACGGGUGCGUAACGCGUGGGAACAUGCCCUUAGGUUCGGCAUAACUACACGAAAGGGGUGCUAAUACCGGAUAAUGUCUUCGGACCAAAGAUUUAUCGCCUUUGGAUGGGCCCGCGUUGGAUUAGCUAGUUGGUAGGGUAAAAGCCUACCAAGGCGACGAUCCAUAGCUGGUCUGAGAGGAUGAUCAGCCACACUGGGACUGAGACACGGCCCAGACUCCUACGGGAGGCAGCAGGGGGGAAGAUGGGACAACGCGCGAAAGCCUGAGCCAGCAGGGCCGCGUGAGUGAUGAAGGCCGUAGGGUUGUAAAGCUCUUUUACCCGGGAUGAUAAUGACAGUACCGGGAGAAUAAGCACCGGCUAACUCCGG
rnacentral:rRNA from 1 species